rnacentral:rRNA from 1 species
UUGAAAGUUACAUGGAUAACCGUGGCAAUUCUACAGCUAAUACAUGCUUCAAAACCUGACUUCGGAAGGGUUGUAUUUAUUAGAUAUUAAACCAUCCCCUCGGGGCUGUGAUGAAUCAUAAUAACUGAUCGAAUCGAGGUUCGCCUUGAUAAAUCAUUCAAGUUUCUGCCCUAUCAGCUGUAGAUGGUAGUGUAUUGGACUACCAUGGCUAUUACGGGUAACGGAGAAUUAGGGUUCGAUUCCGGAGAGGGAGCCUGAGAAACGGCUACCACAUCUACGGAUGGCAGCAGGCGCGAAAAUUGCCCAAUCCCGAUUCGGGGAGGCAGUGACAAGAAAUAACAACCCAGAACAUUGUUUCCGGGAUUGCAAUGAGAACAAUUUAAAAACCUUAUCGAGUACCAACUGGAGGGCAAGUUCUGGUGCCAGCAGCCGCGGUAAUUCCAGCUCCAGUAGCGUAUAUUAAAGUUGCUGCAGUUAAAAAAGCUCGUAGUUGAAUUUCUGUUUGUAAGAGUCGAAGCUUU